CCUCACUUCCCGGCCUGGGCUCCGCUUGCCUUCGCGGGGCUCCUUCCCGCCCCCGCAAGGCCCGCGGCCCGGUUCUGCGCUGCCCGCUUCUACGUCUCAGGCCCACUUUCCUGCCUGGGCCUGGGCGCCUCCUACGUGCGUCCUUCCCCAGGCCGCCCCCCCCACACACACCUAGCGACACCUCGGGUCUCCAAGGACUGCCCCUUCCCGGGGCGCCCAGCAGGCCGGUGCCUUCGGACCCCGGGUGGGCCGACGGGGCUCGGAAGGUUCAAGCCCUCUGCUUUCCCGGGUUCCGCUCUCCCUGGGAUGGACUUAAAUGCAGGACCCGUUUCUCGGCCCUCUCUGCCCUGGGAGCUUUCAGCCACCCUGUAGCUGAAACAGACCGGUGUUCUGAUGAUCAUCUUCAUACCAAGACUUCUGAGCACGGAAAUCUACAUCCAGCAGCCCGUUUGGUUAUGCCCUCUUGACGUCCUUUGGGCGUCUCAAAUGUAAGGUGAAAUGAGGCUAAUGCAGUCUAGAAAGCAGAAAGGAUCAUAAAAGAGGAUACCAUUCUGAGAAGACACCAUACAUUUGGUACAAUAUUCUGGAAAAGGCUACUUCAUUAACCCUCACAUUUCACUGGAAUCAAGACUCUGGACAACUGAAUACACAGGUAAAUCUGGAUAUGGAUAAAGGGAAGAAUGAGUAUAAAUAUUACUGUGUUCUAAUCCUAAACUAAAGUAAAAUAGGCCAACUGGAUCACUGCAGUAUUUUAACCUGGAUGAAAGACAAGUAUUAUGGGAGAAGAAAAAAGACACUGAAAGAUGGAGUUACAUUAAAGUUAAGAUUUACCUUUCUUAGUCUUCCUAUCAGAAGUAGGAGUUCCAGAGAGAAAACGAUUGAAGAAGCAAUUCAAGAGAAUUUUCCUGGAAUUAACUGGGAGGAUUUCCAAAUUAGAAUACUCACAGAUUAUCCUACACAAGUAGUGAAAAAAAAAUCUUUAAUGCAUGUUGUGGAUAAAUUUUGAGGCAUCAGAGAUAGAGAUAUAAUGAAAGCAGCCAUAAAACAAGAUCAUAUACAAAACAACAGAAAUUGGACUUCUCAGCAACAGCACUCAACACCUGAGGAAUGCCUUUGCCUUUCAGAAUUCUAAGGUGAAAAUAUUCCAUGCUAAAUCUCAGAACUCGGCCAAGCAAUCUGUCAUGUGUGAGGAGGGAUAAAGGUAUUUUUAAAUGGAGAAUAUGACAAUAGAUUCUGGGGAACUCCAACCCAGAGUGAAGAGGGUUUUUCAGGAUCCUGUACCAGUACCACUUGCAUUGGAUGUGGAUCUGCACAUUUUUAUUCUCUAAGCUUUUCAAGAUUGCAUCAGCGUGUUGCUCAGCUUCUCUCCGCCUUUAGCCUGGCUUUCUAGAAUCAGUAAAUACUCCAGGGUUAAGCAGCCCUGAAUACUACAUCCUCUCUGGAUUCUUCAUUUUCUCCUGGAUUUGAGUUCUGUGAUUCUUCACUGCUUGU